rnacentral:lncRNA from 1 species
AGUGGGUGCGCCUGGCCACCGUGCUGGCCUACGUGCUCUCCGUCUCGCUGGCCGCCAUCGUCCUCGCCGUCUACUACAGCCUCAUCUGGCAGCCGGUGCGCGGAGGCGGCGGUUCCUCUGCUUCUCCUCCCUCGGUUCCCGGCCCCGCCGCCAACUCCCCGCGUUGCCCGGCCCCGCCGCCAACUCCUCCUCGCAGCCCCGCAGCGCUCCGCCGCCGCGUUCCGCCGCUUCGCCGCCCCCCGGCCCCACGCCGCCGCAGCCGCCGCCGCCGAGGGGGGGCCCGGCCGGGACGGGCGGCCCGGAGCCUCCAGCGCCGCGCGGGGCCGGGGAGGGCCGCAGUGCGCCGUGAGGCCGGGCAGGAGGGCAGCGCUGGACACUGAGCGGAGGAUCGGCGCUGUGUGACGGCGGGCCUCCCCCUCUUGUCGCCGUGGGUUCCCGUGGCUUCGUUCUUUUUCCAGCUUCGCCCUUCGAACCGCGCCGGACUGUACCCGUCUUGAGGAGCUCGGUGUGCUGAGCCCGCGCAGCGCUGUUGGCAGGAGCGGCUGGGAGCGGUGCCGAUCCGUAGGCUGUAACCCGUUGUUUUAAGUACCGAGUUUUGUUUAGCCAUGAGCGUAAACUUAUUUAAACCAUGUGAAGAGGUGAGGCCGUGUGCGCCCGUCUCCUGCUGUCGGUGCUGAGCUCUGAGCACAUGGCAUGGCCCAUGGUUUCAGUCGUGCAGCAUAACGGUGAGGCUGUACGGUGUCGCUGCGAAGUGACACCUGGAGCUGACAUUGCCGGGGAGGGAAAAGGCCAGGUGGGAGAAAGCAAGAAGAGGCGAAGGAGCAGAAAGCCUGAAGCUGCUGCUGGACUGGGAGGCUGCACUGUUACCUCCAGGGCUGCGUCUGAGCUCUUCUCCUUUAUCUGCUGUAGUGACUGAUGGCAUCCUGGCAGCAGCGCGCUGCUCUGCAGCUUUGUCCAGGCUGGGCUUAGCCCUGUGUGCAGUGGGUGACUUUGUUCCCUUGUGCCUGCAGCACAUCCCUACCUGUUUGUAGGGCUGCUGUGUGCGUGCAGGGGCUCUGGGUGCUGGCGAUGCUGCUGCUCUGUGCUGUUGCUGGUACGUACAUCUGGUUGUAGAGGGAAAGGCUCCCGAAGAGAGGAAUGGGCAAAGCAAAAACAAAGCAUGCUCUUUUUUUUUUUUUUUUUUUCUUUUUUUCCUUGCUGCCAAUUGAAUCUGUUUUUUGGCUCUGGUCCUUAAUGCAGAAGCAGUUGGGAAGUGUCUCUGGAACGGAGCUCGUGUUUAAUUUUUAAAACCAUCUUUAAAGAUAAAUAAAAGCUGGGCAGAAUGAUACA